rnacentral:lncRNA from 1 species
AUGUAGUGGCAUUCCAGUAGAAUGGAAUACUGAACCUCUUGGUGUAGUUACCGUGUGAUACAAUCCUUCUAUCAUGAGUCCCGACUAGACGGAGGUUAUGGAAUAACUCGUCAAACCCCAUCGUCUGUCAUAUGUUAAAUUUAUUCGACUCGAGUUUCUGAUAUCGGAAACCCUUUUUCGAUAUUUAUUCUGCCCUGGCCAAGGUCUUCUAAACUUGGUCUCAUAAAUCACAUAGGACUAACACCCCUAUCUACCAAGGGAGAUAGAUUCCAUCUAAGUGCGCACCCUAUUCCUACAAUGAACCU